rnacentral:rRNA from 1 species
UACGUAGGGGGCGAGCGUUGUCCGGAGUUACUGGGCGUAAAGCGUGCGCAGGCGGUUUUGUAAGUCUGUCGUGAAAUCCCCGGGCUUAACCUGGGAAUGGCGAUGGAGACUGCAAGGCUAGAGUUUGGCAGAGGGGGGUAGAAUUCCACGUGUAGCAGUGAAAUGCGUAGAUAUGCGGAGGAACACCGAUGGCGAAGGCAAUCCCCUGGACCUGUACUGACGCUCAUGCACGAAAGCGUGGGGAGCAAACAGG